CAGUAGCCACGGUAAUACAGAGGGUGCGAGCGUUAAUCGGAUUUACUGGGCGUAAAGCGUGCGUAGGCGGCUUCUUAAGUCGGAUGUGAAAUCCCUGAGCUUAACUUAUGAAUUGCAUUCGAUACUGGGAAGCUAGAGUAUGGGAGAGGAUGGUAGAAUUCCAGGUGUAGCGGUGAAAUGCGUAGAGAUCUGGAGGAAUACCGAUGGCGAAGGCAGCCAUCUGGCCUAAUACUGACGCUGAGGUACGAAAGCAUGGGGAGCAAACAGGAUUAGAUACCCCCGUAGUCCCUGUCUCUUAUAU
rnacentral:rRNA from 1 species